rnacentral:rRNA from 2 species
UGAACCUACGGAAGGAUCAUUG